CAGAAAAUGUUCACAUGGCGUCAGAUAUAAAGAAAUGCAUAGGGUCACCAAUAUAAUUUAGACCCCCAUAAACAGGGGGUGGCCAAAAUGAUUGGGAUAGGCAACUUUUUUUUUCUCUCACUAAGGGGGCAUCCAUAAAGUACGUCACGCUGGAAAGUGUGACAAGCAGUGUAUUAAAUAUAGGAAAACCCCGUACGAAGGGGAGAGGGGGGGGGGGGGGUGAUUUGAAAAUUCCCAUUUUUAGCGUGACGUACUAAAUGGAUGCCCAUAAAAAUGUUCAACAUGCUGUAACUUUUCAUAGCAUCGAAAAUUCUCAAAUUUUGACUGUUUGUCCACCUAUUAUAUAUGCAUUAGUAUGGGACAAAUAUCAAAUCUUCGCUCCAGUCGACUUUUUAGAUCCCAUUUAGCAGCAGCCAAGGCAGCAGCUACAGUGCUGCUAAUAAAGCAAAACAAAAAGCCGUUCGUUGGAUCACUAAUCGGUAAUAAAUCAAUAACUUUUUCCACAAGCAUCCAAUCGUUUUGCGGUCUUCGAAGGAAAGUUUCACAAAUGAUUUUUCUACAAGAAACGUUGAUCGAUUUGGAUUAAGGAGACAAAGGGCGACCUCUGGGAUUUUUUGAUUGAACGUGUCACUUUUCCCAUAGUAAAUCAUAUGAAAACUUUGAGCCGCUUGCGCUAAAUUAUAGUUUCACCGAUUGCGCUGAAAUUUUGCACAGAUCAUAUGGGACCUAAAUGGAAUCAAAAAAGUCGACUGGAGCGAGAAUUUGAUGUUUGUCCCAUACUAGUGGUGAUGCCUCCCGCCACCCCAUGCAACAACGGCAGCAGCAGUGCUGCUGAUAAAACAAAAUAAAAAGCCGUUCGUUGGAUCACUAAUCGGUAAUAAAUCAAUAACUUUUUCCACAAGCAUCCAAUCGUUUUGCGGUCUUCGAAGGAAAGUUUCACAAAUGAUUUUUCUACAAGAAACGUUGAUCGAUUUGGAUUAAGGAGACAAAGGGCGACCUCUGGGAUUUUUUGAUUGAACGUGUCACUUUUCCCAUAGUAAAUCAUAUGAAAACUUUGAGCCGCUUGCGCUAAAUUAUAGUUUCACCGAUUGCGCUGAAAUUUUGCACAGAUCAUAUGGGACCUAAAUGGAAUCAAAAAAGUCGACUGGAGCGAGAAUUUGAUGUUUGUCCCAUACUAGUGGUGAUGCCUCCCGCCACCCCAUGCAACAACGGCAGCAGCAGUGCUGCUGAUAAAACAAAAUAAAAAGCCGUUCGUUGGAUCACUAAUCGGUAAUAAAUCAAUAACUUUUUUCACAAGCAUCCAAUUGUUUUGCUGUCUUCGAAGGAAAGUUUCAUAAUUGAUUUUUCUACAAGAAACAUUGAUCGAUUUGAAUUAAGGAGACAAGGGACGACCUCUGGGAUUUUUUAUCUGAAAGUGUAACUUUUCCCAUAGUAAAUCCUAUAAAAACUUUGAACCGCUUGCGCUAAAUUAUAGUUUCACCGAUUGCGCUGAAAUUUUGUACAGUUCAUAUGGGACCUAAAUGGAAUCUAAAAAGUCGACUGGAGCGAGGAUUUAUUUUUUCCAUACAAGCGUGUACCAUACUAAUAUGCAUUCUUGGUACAAAUUUGAGCACGAUUGGUAAAUCUUCCGCGAAGCUAGAAUCGUUCUAGUAAAACACUAUUUUUAGACAACUUAUUUUUGAACUGUCAUAUCUCGGAAAUCAGUUUAUCAACAAUACAUUAAUGCUUCACAAGUUAUUAAAACAUAGGUACUUUUUGAAUGUUGAAAAAAAGUUAUCAUGGCUUGAUAAAUGUAUUUUUUUUACAUCAAUGGCAUUAAAUUUUAGUUUUGAUAUCCAAAGAUUUUCUACUUAUGUUCUCAAGAUAUCACUAAUCAGAUAUAUUAGAGCCAAUUUGGAUUAUAAGGAAAAAAACAUUUAGUUAUUUUUGUUUGAUAUUGUGAAUUUCACUUAUUUUUCUCUAUAUGGGUGAAACUAUGAAACCGGUAUAACUUUAUUUGUCGUGCGGAAAUAUUACAUUUUAUAACGUCGUAAUAUAGUUUAUUGCAUUGCUAACUGGACUGCGACAAAGUGCGGAAUCUCAAAUAAAAGUGCGAUAUUGCAUCAAAUCGUUCCGGUGUCUUCACCGCACUUAUUCAUCACGAGCUAAUGAAUAAGUGCGGUGAAGAGACCGAAACGAUCUGACGCAAAAUCGCACUUUUAUUUGAGAUUCCGCACUUCAUCGUCGCACUUAUAACCGCGCAAUGCGCAAUAAUUAUCAAUAUACUGUUGUGGAGCGGACCUGGUGUGAUGGUCACUUGACUAUCACGCCGAGGACCUGGGAUCGAAUCCCACUCCCAACAAACUCGCAAAAUGUGAGUUCUUCCUUCGGAAGUAAAGUAAAGCGUGGGUCCCGAAAUGAACUAGCCUAGGGCUAAAAAUCUCGUUAAUACAGAUAAAAAAAUAUACUGUUGAUAAACGUUCAAAAUUUCAUUCAAUUCGGUUCGGUUGGUUUCCAAGAUAUGAUACUUCACGCAGAAAAAUAAAUUGUAAACACAAUUAAAUUCUAGUUCAAAUCACCCGAUUUUUCAGUUUACUAUAGCGACAAACUGAUUUUUUUUUUGCUAGGUUUCUAGCUGCACUCUGAAUAGAGUUGAAACCUCUACACUAGACCCGAAGAUAGAAAAGAGUACGUAAUCUUUCAGAAGCAGUUUGCCAGCCGUACGCGGAAAAUGAUAUCCAUUAAGACACUGUUGCAACUGACUCAGAAAGAUACGGUAGAAGAUUGGAAAGUUUUCAAUUGGUCAGUCAGUCAGGAUUUGCCUAUGUAGUGUUAUGGUCACACGGUUUGUGUUUGCCUCCUUGUUUUGAAUUUGUGGCAUGGUUAAAUAUGUUUUUCUCCUCGUUAAGUCAGUUGUCGUAUGUUGUUUUUUUUCAUCGAAUCAAUCGAACCUUGUAUGUUAAAAUAUAGUCGAUCCUGUGUCAAAUUGUUUUCUUGAUUUCGCUAAUCGUUUUCUACUUGUGUUCAUCUCUUGUGUCCUUAAAUUGUCAUCGGUCCAAAAUCCAUAGAAACAUGUAACUGAACUUCUGAAUAUCUAAGAGAUAAUCAAAAAUACGCCAAGUUGGUCAGUUGAUUGCAAUAAAAUUUUAAAAUAAUAAAGAUUUCAUGUCAACUUUCAUCCCGCUACAAAUACUAUUAAAAAUAUUCAAAUUCGUUUAAUUGUCCUAUCGGUCCUACCUAGAUGAUCCAUGUCAUUUUCUCAAGCGUAGCCUAGAAAUGUCAACCUAGUCAUACACAAAUAACGUUGUUCAGUUAAUAUAAAGCAGUCAGUUUUUGCCCAAAAUGUCACGUCGAACGCAUUGACGUCAACAAUGCGUUUAAGUGUUCGCACGUUAGCUUUGAAUCUAUCAGCACAAUUAAGCCGGAACAAAUCUCAUUUUCUUCUUUUGUCACAAUACUCGUUGGCUCGCUAAGGGGGAGGACAAUAAAUAAUAAAUGUAUUUGACGAAGUAAUACCCAAGCAGUUUGGCAAAAUCUAUAAACUCAUCGGAUUUGUUAAGAAAUUUUCUGUGCAACUCUAAUUUCACCUUGAAAUUUUAAAAUUUCUUGAAUAAUUUAUUGUUGUCCCCCCUCAAAAUGUAGAAUUUUGACCAAAAUUUUCCGAGGGGGCGGGGACAUAAGAGAAAAUCGAAAUUUGUGUCAGCCUAAUACCCACGCUUUUUGCACCAUUUAAUUGCAAAAACGGAGAAUGGACCUUCUCACCAUACUAAAAUUCAGCUCAUUACUACAAAUCUAGUACUACACCGAACGUGCCCCAUUUAAUGCUGUUUGAGCAAAAGUUUUAAUAACUGUGUUGUUGAAGUUGCAAGAAAUAAAUAAUACAACAACACAGUUACCAAACUUUUGCUCAAAUAGCAUCAAAUUAGUCAAGAAAUCAUAUAACCCACGCUGUUUGUACCAUUUCAUUACAGAAAUGGAGAACUGAUCAUCUCACCAUACAAAAAUCCAGCUCACUACUUUCAAUCUAGUACUUCACUGAUUGCUUCCUAUUACGGCACCGAUUGACUCCGUUCUUUUUGUUUUCAUGGGUGCUCACUUCUAACAAAAAAUACAAAAAUAAGAAACAACACAAACAGCGCUUCAAUCCUUUGUUUUUCGUGAGAUGAAAAUGGGAGCCACAUGCUUAAUAAGGGAACCAAUACCCUAGGCAAGGAAUCAUAAUAGGGGUAGGCGGGGCAAUAUGGACACCCUAAGGUUUUUGCCAAUUUUACCUAGCAAGAUGUCAAAAAAGUUUAGUUUUUUGAUACAUGUAUCCUUUUAAAGACUAUUUAGCAUCUAUUGCAUAAGAAUGCUCACGAAGAAAAAUGAUUUAUCCACUUCAAAAAAUGUUAUGAAAAAUGUUAGUUUUUCAUGACCGUCUUCAAGCAUACGGGGCAGAAUGGACACCCCCAUGGGGCAUUAUGGACACCAUGAGACUUUUACAAAUUUCGUACAUUAUUUACACCUAUAAAGUAAUUUCAUUGCAAAACAACUAUUAUGAAUGAAUAAUACGCCGAAGUAGUUCAUUUUUGUUAAGUUAAUUUAAAUUCAGGCUGUUUUGGAUAAAGCUUCGUUUUUGUCGGCAGGUACAGCUGUGCCUAGAACAACUAUUUUCCGCUGCUGUCGUUUUUUGACCAAUUUGUUUCACCCUAUGUCUACUAUAGUGAACUUUUAACCGAAAAUAUACUGAAAUCGAAGAAUUUGAUUGGUUUGUGAUUUAGGUUAUAUUUUUCCCUUGCCGCUUCUUUCAAAAAGGUGAGUGUCCAUUUUGCCCCGGCAGCAGAAGAUAUUUCCAAACUUGAUUUUUGAUAUAAUAAAGAAGAAAAUAUAAACAUGUUAAGCAUGUACAUACAGCAAAACUACUUGCAUGUGUUUUAGAAAUAUCAGGUUUUAAUCGGCCUGCAAUAAAUUAAUCACUAAACCUUAUUUUAGAUGGUGUGAAAAUUAUAAUUUCCAUGCACAAAAAACGGAGGACGCAACUUUUUCGUGUAAAAUCAAGUAUAAUUUUAAUUUCGAAUGUUUCUUUCCUGAAACUACGUUCUAGACAAAUGGACUAUAUUCUCCAUUCAUUAAAAGUUCAAAAAAGUUCGCAUAUUUCAAAAUAUUGAGGGUGUCCAUUCUGCCCCGGGUGUCCAUAAUGCCCCGCCUACCCCUACCCACGCUUUUUGCACCAUUUCAUUGCAGAAACGGAGAACUGACCUUCUCACCAUACUAAAAUUCAGCUCAUUACUACAAAUCUAGUACUUCGCCGAUCUGUCCUAUUAAAUAUUAUCUUCUUACUAAAUUUACAUAUGCCAUCAAAUUCUCGAUAAUAAAAAUAAAUAUUUCUAGAUUGAGUUUAAAUAAGGGCGAACGUAACAUGAGAGAGUUCUCUUCAUAGACUCUCUCAUCUGAAAAUUAAAGUGACAAGAUGCAAAUUCAAUCGAACUUUUUUACACUUAGACGCUAGAUUGCAUCGCAACCUAGCGAUUUAUGACUAAAAAGCGCAGCCAUACUUGCAUCUUGUCACUUUAAUUUGAAGAAGAGAGAGUCGAUGAAGAGAACUCUCUCAUGUUACUUUCGCCCUUAUUUAAACUCAAUCUAGAUUUGUAAUACGUUUAUUGUCGAUUGCAAUACCGUUCAAUCAACGCCUUCCUACAAACGAUAAACAUGUUCAUUUGGCUCACACUUUGACAGUUCUCUCUGCUCGAUUGGCUCACAAUUGCCUUCUCUAUAAAGUAGGAUUACUAGUCUAAGUAUGCUGGACGGUGUUUCUAUUCGCCCCGUUUUACGGUAACAAAAAAAAAAUGUUUGGAUUUUUUUUUUGCACGGCCGUGCAAAAUAAA